GUGAUCACUUCGGCAGCAUGAUUACUAAAACUGGGACAACACAGAGAUUUGCACGGCCCCUGCGCAAGGACGACACACAAGUUUGUGAAAUAUUCCCUAUUUUU